rnacentral:tRNA from 1 species
UAGCUCAGCCUGGUGGAGCGCUGCCCUGGUAAGGCAGAGGUCCCGGGUUCGAAUCCCG